GGGGAAAGGAACUAGCUACUGAAUCAUAGAAUUUCUUUAAAUUCAUGAUGUCGUAAGGGAAAAUAAUGAUAAUACCUUACUAUGAGUGUCGUCCAAAUCUGGUGCCAGAAGACUCGGUAAUACCAGAGACGCAAACGUUAAUCAUCUUAAACAGGCGUAAAGGGUUUGUAGGCAGCUCCCAUAUGAGUAUAAUUGCAAAAUAAAGUAGUCUAAUUGGAAGCUAGAAUCAAAAAGAGGUUAUAGUGUAUAACGCCUAGAGGAGGGCUGAUAUCCUUAGAUCCUAGGCAGAAUACUCAGGGCGAAGGCCACUCUCCACUAAUGAUUGACGCUGAGAAACGAAGGUUAGGGUAGGAAAUAGGAUUUUUAAAUUGCGACCUGAUAAGCUUAUUUAAGUAUAGCGGAGUAACUCCGUCUAAAUAUUCCAUCUUAUUAGAGUUCACCUUAAUAAACGAGCAUUGGUAACAAUCUAGUUUAAAGCUUAAGGUAUAAACUAAAUAAUAUUAUUUGGUUUGAACUGUCUUCUAUGGUUAGAUAAAUCGAAUCUAUGUAUUAAAAGUUUUAUUAAUUAGUAUUUUCACGAG
rnacentral:rRNA from 1 species